UACGUAGGCAGCAAGCGUUGUUCGGAAUUACUGGGCGUAAAGAGUGUGUAGGCGGUGCUCCAAGUCUGUUGUGAAAUCUCCCGGCUUAACUGGGAGGGUGCGGCGGAAACUGGAGUGCUUGAGUGUGGGAGAGGUAAGCGGAAUUCCUGGUGUAGCGGUGAAAUGCGUAGAUAUCAGGAGGAACGCCUGUGGUGUAGACAGCUUACUGGACCACGACUGACGCUGAGGAGCGAAAGCCAGGGGAGCAAACGGG
rnacentral:rRNA from 1 species